UACAGAGGGUGCGAGCGUUAAUCGGAAUUACUGGGCGUAAAGGGUGCGUAGGUGGUUGCAUAAGUUAGGUGUGAAAGUCCUGGGCUUAACCUGGGGACUGCGCCUAAGACUGUGUGGCUAGAGUACUGUAGAGGAAGGUGGAAUUUCCAGUGUAGCGGUGAAAUGCGUAGAUAUUGGAAGGAACAUCGGUGGCGAAGGCGACUUUCUGGACAGAUACUGACACUGAGGCACGAGAGCAUGGGGAGCAAACAGG
rnacentral:rRNA from 1 species